AAUGAACGCUGGCGGCAGGCCUAACACAUGCAAGUCGAACGAGUGGCGGAGGGGAGAGUAAUGUAGGGGAAACUGCCUGAAGGAGGGGGAUAACUACGGGAAACGGUAGCUAAUACGGCAUAACAUCAGAUGUGCCCAGUGUGGAUUAGCUUGUUGGUGGGGUAACGGCUCACCAAGGCGACGAGCCCUAGCUGGUCUGCGAGGAUGACCGGCCACACUGGAACUGAGACACGGUCCAGACUCCUACGGGAGGCAGCAGUGGGGAAUAUUCCACAAUGGGCGCAAGCCUGAUGCAGCCACGCCGCGUGUGUGAAGAAGGCCUUCGGGUCGUAAAGCUCUGUUAUUGGGGAGGCGUUACCCACACAGGAAGCACCGGCUAACUCCGUGCCAGCAGCCGCGGUAAUUC
rnacentral:rRNA from 1 species